rnacentral:lncRNA from 1 species
GGGCCAGGCUGGGGAGUUGGCAGUGGUGGGGCAGGGCUCCUCCUGGUGUCUCCAGGGUCCAGGCCAUGCUCUGGGGCCUGGAGGUCACCCCUGAAGGCUGACCUCACCCUCCCUCCUCAGCGCCGACAUUCCUAAGGGAGCUCUCAGAUGAGACUGUGGUCCUGGGCCAGUCAGUGACACUGGCCUGCCAGGUGUCAGCCCAGCCAGCUGCCCAGGCCACCUGGAGCAAAGACGGAGCCCCCCUGGAGAGCAGCAGCCGUGUCCUCAUCUCUGCCACCCUCAAGAACUUCCAGCUUCUGACCAUCCUGGUGGUGGUGGCUGAGGACCUGGGUGUGUACACCUGCAGCGUGAGCAAUGCGCUGGGGACAGCAACCACCACGGGCGUCCUCCGGAAGGCAGGUACGUGGGCCACACUGGGGGUCCCACCAGGCCAGGGAGGCUGGGCUGGGGCUGCUGGGAAGCCUCAUCCUGCGUGGAAUGCUUCCGGGCCCGUGCAUUGGCUGCUGAGGCAUCCGCUCCCUGACCCUGAGCAGCCCACAUCCCUAUGGGGCCAGGCACCACACACGGCCAGGGCUGCAGGAGGCCUGAGAAGGUCAACACAGAGUUCUGACCGCCCAGGCUGCUUUGGGCUGGCAGGAGGCCCUGAGCUGGUCCCAGCAGAAACAACCAGCCUUGGGAAGGAUGGCCGGACGCAGCUGCUGACGUUACAGGGCUUGGAAGGAAGCCUGUUCAUCCACGCUCCCUGCCAGGGAGAAAGCCCAUCCCAUUGGCCACUUGCCGGGAGAACUGAGUUUCUCGGGCGCAUGACCCAUUGCACCAUCUUCCCACGUUCCUUCCAUGCCCAUCCCUCCAGCCUAUGCAGGAGUGGGCUGCUUCCCGUUCCAUGCCUCAAUCAAAGUUGAGUUACAAGCACAACACAGUUCCCUGGGGCGUGUUUCUGAGGUGGUCAGGAUGGGGGCUACAGGCCUAGCUCUGGGACCCCUGGCCCAAUGCCCAGAGUGGGCCGGCCUGCUUGAACCUGUGCAGGGCAACCCAGUGAAGCCCAGCAGCCCCACCAGGGCCCUUCUGACCAGAGGCUCGGCCCCUGCACAGGGUUCUGGUCACACCCAGGUGGAUGGGCCAGCCCAGGAGUGGGAUCUGGCAGGGCAGACUCCUCCCCAGCCCCUCGCCAGGAGAGGCCCCUCCUACCAGUCCUCACUGUGACUGGACCCUGAAUGAACAGGACCAGGGAGGGUGGGCUCCAGAGCCCUGGUGGCUGCCAGGGUGAGGCAGGCGCCAGCCAGAUAUUGGCCCCUGGAGGCUG